CUCCUCCAGGAUGGGACAUCGCCGCCUCUGAGACUCGUGAGCCCAACUCUCUUCCCUAAGCUUAGGGGAAGCUGGAGCAGAGCAGAAGGAAGCAGACGACACAGUGGCGCUGGUGGGAGGAGCAGCUCAGCCUGAUAACCACGAUCAGCAUCAGCAACGGGAGGAAGGUCAGCACCACCACAAGCACAGUGGAGUAAUCAUCCUGGUGCCUGAGGAGAAGGGACAGAGCGGAAGAGGAAGCCUGGGUUCUGGAGAGUGAAUGACGAGGGAGGUGGAGGAGCUUUGAGGCAUCCUAGCAGUGAGUGUUGGUUCUGUCUCAGCAUGGAAUGAGAAAGUUGGAGAGAGAGGCUGCUGCAUCCCACUCCUGUGCAUGGAAAGGACAAUUUCCUAAGGGCCAAAUGGUCAUCAUGGAAGGUGGCUGCACUUGAGCCAUUUUUCUGGGGAAAGGAACUCAAAACAAGCAGCAUUGGUGAGGAUAAGGAUAGAGCAAGAGGCUCACCUGGAGCCACAUCAUCAUCCUCAGCAAUGAGGGCACCCCCAAAGAACUCUUCAAAGAAUUCACACAUCAGUGCCUUGGGAGAGCAUGUGGACACUCAGAAAGACUCUCAAAGGGCUGGCAGACAAGGAAUGACAUCCACCAGAGAGAACACUCCUGCAACACUCAGUUAAGCCACAAAACCAUCUCUCCUUCCCUUGUUCCUACAUCAACAUGCUAAGAGGGCCAGGAGGAGGUAACCAAGAGGAACCCCGCCAUCCCCACACCCUAAGAUUUAGGAUGGGGAGCUGAGCAGCCAGCAAACUUCCUUCUCCACUUUAGGUGCCUUGGGCCAUACAACCUGGUCUUCAGGGGUCAGCAGAAUAUCCUAUACUGCUAGAUGACUAGAAUUUGUAAUUAGACUAAGGAUUAUUAAAUUUUCUAAUAACUGACAAGGUCUGCAAAAGUUGGAAUCUUCACAAAUUGUCCUCAAGAAGUGGAAAGUGAGAUUUGACAUAACAUGAUUAGGGGAAAUGAUGAGAAAAAUAAAAGCAUUUAAUGUUCAAUGUUUCUGACCCUACAAAUUAAGACUUCAAUGAACCAGUUUCAACUUCCCUGCAUCUAACUCAGAACUGGAGAGGGGAGGAAUAAGAUUUGGCUCCACAUUUUAGCGACAGCAUUUUCCCUAGCUCAGACCCCAUGGAAGAUGCAGAUGCGAUCGGGUUAGGGGAACAGGGAAAGGUGGAUAGUAAAUUGCAUAACUGGCUGCUUUUUUUGGACUCUUUAGCUGACUCCUUUCCCUUUUCUAUCUUAUAAAUGCAGAAGGACCUCAUGGCUUGGUGUUCCACUCUUUUUUUUUGCCUACACUCAAGGAAGAGCUUUUAGAUCUUGAUAUUUUUUUAGCAACUUUAUUGAGAUAUAACUCACAUCCCAUUUACAGUAUAAAGCUCAAUGGUUUUUUAGUAUGUUUACAAGGUUAUGCAACCACCAUCAUGGUGAAUUUUAGAACAUCCUCAUCAUCUCCAAAAGAAACCCCUUACUGUAUAUCUAUGACUCUGUAUUC